GAUGAACGCUAGCGACAGGCUUAACACAUGCAAGUCGAGGGGCAGCAUAAAAGUAGCAAUACUUUGGUGGCGACCGGCGCACGGGUGAGUAACGCGUAUGCAACCUACCUAUCAGAGGGGGAUAACCCGGCGAAAGUCGGACUAAUACCGCAUAAAACAGGGGCACCGCAUGGUGAUAUUUGUUAAAAAUUUAUUGCUGAUAGAUGGGCAUGCGUUCCAUUAGGUAGUUGGAGAGGUAACGGCUCACCAAGCCAACGAUGGAUAGGGGAACUGAGAGGUUGGUCCCCCACACUGGUACUGAGACACGGACCAGACUCCUACGGGAGGCAGCAGUGAGGAAUAUUGGUCGAUGGGCGAGAGCCUGAACCAGCCAAGUCGCGUGAAGGAAGAAGGAUCUAUGGUUCGUAAACUUCUUUUGCAGGGGAAUAAAGUGCAGGACGUGUCCUGUUUUGUAUGUACCCUGAGAAUAAGGAUCGGCUAACUCCGUGCCAGCAGCCGCGGUAAA
rnacentral:rRNA from 1 species